UACGAAGGGGGCUAGCGUUGCUCGGAAUUACUGGGCGUAAAGGGUGCGUAGGCGGCGCGGUAAGUCGGGUGUGAAAUCUCGGAGCUUAACUCCGAAACUGCAUUCGAUACUGCCGUGCUUUGAGGACUGGAGAGGAGACUGGAAUUUACGGUGUAGCGGUGAAAUGCGUAGAUAUCGAGAGGAACACCAGUGGCGAAGGCGAGUCCCUGGACAACACCUGACACUGAGGCACGAAAGCUAGGGGAGCAAACAGG
rnacentral:rRNA from 1 species